rnacentral:rRNA from 1 species
UCGGGAUCGGCUGGCUAUUUGACCACACCCUUACUUUACGCGUACCUUUUGUUUUUCCUUCGGCGGGAUAACCCGCCGCUGGACCUUAACAGAACCUUUUGUAUCUAGUAUUACCUGUUCCGAUAACCAUAAUCGUUACAACUUUCAACAAUGGAUCUCUUGGCUCUGGCAUCGAUGAAGAACGCAGCGAAAUGCGAUAAGUAGUGUGAAUUGCAGAAUUCAGUGAAUCAUCGAAUCUUUGAACGCACAUUGCGCCCCUUGGUAUUCCAUGGGGCAUGCCUGUUCGAGCGUCAUCUACACCCUCAAGCUCUGCUUGGUGUUGGGCGUCUGUCCCGCCUCUGCGCGUGGACUCGCCCCAAAGGCAUUGGCAGCGGUCUUUUGCACCUCUCGCGCAGCACAUUGCGCUUCUCGAGGCGAGGAAGGUCGCGUCCACAAAGCCACAUUACCGUCUUUGACCUCGGAUCAGGUAGGGAUACCCGCUGAACUUAAGCAUAUCAAUAAGCGGAGGAA